AUGAAGAGUUUGAUCCUGGCUCAGGAUGAACGCUAGCUACAGGCUUAACACAUGCAAGUCGAGGGGCAGCAUUUCAGUUUGCUUGCAAACUGGAGAUGGCGACCGGCGCACGGGUGAGUAACACGUAUCCAACCUGCCGAUAACUCGGGGAUAGCCUUUCGAAAGAAAGAUUAAUACCCGAUGGCAUAAUUAGACCGCAUGGUCUUAUUAUUAAAGAAUUUCGGUUAUCGAUGGGGAUGCGUUCCAUUAGGCAGUUGGUGAGGUAACGGCUCACCAAACCUUCGAUGGAUAGGGGUUCUGAGAGGAAGGUCCCCCACAUUGGAACUGAGACACGGUCCAAACUCCUACGGGAGGCAGCAGUGAGGAAUAUUGGUCAAUGGGCGCAGGCCUGAACCAGCCAAGUAGCGUGAAGGAUGACUGCCCUAUGGGUUGUAAACUUCUUUUAUAUGGGAAUAAAGUUUUCCACGUGUGGAAUUUUGUAUGUACCAUAUGAAUAAGGAUCGGCUAACUCCGUGCCAGCAGCCGCGGUAAUACGGAGGAUCCGAGCGUUAUCCGGAUUUAUUGGGUUUAAAGGGAGCGUAGGUGGACAGUUAAGUCAGUUGUGAAAGUUUGCGGCUCAACCGUAAAAUUGCAGUUGAUACUGGCUGUCUUGAGUACAGUAGAGGUGGGCGGAAUUCGUGGUGUAGCGGUGAAAUGCUUAGAUAUCACGAAGAACUCCGAUUGCGAAGGCAGCUCACUGGACUGCAACUGACACUGAUGCUCGAAAGUGUGGGUAUCAAACAGGAUUAGAUACCCUGGUAGUCCACACAGUAAACGAUGAAUACUCGCUGUUUGCGAUAUACAGUAAGCGGCCAAGCGAAAGCAUUAAGUAUUCCACCUGGGGAGUACGCCGGCAACGGUGAAACUCAAAGGAAUUGACGGGGGCCCGCACAAGCGGAGGAACAUGUGGUUUAAUUCGAUGAUACGCGAGGAACCUUACCCGGGCUUAAAUUGCAUUUGAAUAAUCUGGAAACAGGUUAGCCGCAAGGCAAAUGUGAAGGUGCUGCAUGGUUGUCGUCAGCUCGUGCCGUGAGGUGUCGGCUUAAGUGCCAUAACGAGCGCAACCCUUAUCUUUAGUUACUAACAGGUCAUGCUGAGGACUCUAGAGAGACUGCCGUCGUAAGAUGUGAGGAAGGUGGGGAUGACGUCAAAUCAGCACGGCCCUUACGUCCGGGGCUACACACGUGUUACAAUGGGGGGUACAGAAGGCAGCUACCUGGUGACAGGAUGCUAAUCCCAAAAGCCUCUCUCAGUUCGGAUCGAAGUCUGCAACCCGACUUCGUGAAGCUGGAUUCGCUAGUAAUCGCGCAUCAGCCAUGGCGCGGUGAAUACGUUCCCGGGCCUUGUACACACCGCCCGUCAAGCCAUGAAAGCCGGGGGUACCUGAAGUACGUAACCGCAAGGAGCGUCCUAGGGUAAAACUGGUAAUUGGGGCUAAGUCGUAACAAGGUAGCCGUACCGGAAGGUGCGGCUGGAACACCUCCUUU
rnacentral:rRNA from 1 species